CAGAAAAUUAUAUCAGCAACAGCAAAAGUUGGAGAUAGUUAACUCGCGGAACAAAAUUUUUGAGUGUUUUAUACGCAACGCAAUAUAAAUUUAUUGUAAAAAUUUACCAGUUUAAACGCAUUUUACUUUCAAAUAAAUUGUGAUUCGUAUCAAUUUACAAACCCGUUAGUAGUGCCUGUAACUCUUCAAGUGGAAGAGAGUGUUUCUUUAUAACACUAGAGAGCGACACGAUUUUUGUGGAGCACAUAGUGUCGAAAAUAAUCCAGUUUUGCACCGUAACGCAACCAGAUACUGCGCAUCGCAACCUACCAUCUUAGCUUAUUGUAUUAUCAAAGCAGCAAAAUAAUAGCAAGAAGACAACAAAAUCCACACAACUGCAAAAUUCUUUUUUGAAUUUUUCUUUUAUUUUGGUUUGUUUGCUUUUCGUUUCGCAACCAAUCAAUUUUGAAAUUUAGAAGUUGCUUCUGACAACGGUGAACACAUUUAAAAAAUUCUGUAAUCAAAAAUCAGUGGAAAAUCAACGUAAACGUCAGUUGUAAUCUGAGUGGAAAGUUUACAUUGGAUAAUUCAUUAUCGGACAAUACUCUUUGAUCUUCGUGUGAAUUGUGUUGCGCACCCCAAGGAGGGGAGUUACUUGUUUUAUAUGACUUUUGAAAGAUUAAUAGAAACACCAGUAUUCAAAGGAGCACCACCAACUCCACCUCAACGGAGCAAGUUGGUUAGUUCGUGCAUGAAUUCACAUAGGCGAUACUUAAGUCAUAG